rnacentral:tRNA from 1 species
CGAGGUGUAGCGUAGUCUGGUCAGCGCAUCUAUUUUGGGUGCAAAGGGCUAUAGGUUCGAAUCCUGUCACCUUGA